GUCUGAGUGGCUCAGCCGGUUAAGCGUCUGACUUCGGCUCAGGUCACGAUCUCAUGGUUCGUGGGUUUGAGCCCUGCCUCUGGCU
rnacentral:tRNA from 1 species